GUGUCAGCCGCCGCGGUAAUACGUAGGGGGCAAGCGUUAUCCGGAUUUACUGGGUGUAAAGGGAGCGUAGACGGCAGGGCAAGUCUGAAGUGAAAGCCCGGGGCUCAACCCCGGGACUGCUUUGGAAACUGUCCGGCUGGAGUGCAGGAGAGGUAAGUGGAAUUCCUAGUGUAGCGGUGAAAUGCGUAGAUAUUAGGAGGAACACCAGUGGCGAAGGCGGCUUACUGGACUGUAACUGACGUUGAGGCUCGAAAGCGUGGGGAGCAAACAGGAUUAGAUACCCUGGUAGUCCACGCCGUAAACGAUGAUUACUAGGUGUCGGGGGUUAUUGAACCUUCGGUGCCGCAGCAAACGCAAUAAGUAAUCCACCUGGGGAGUACGUUCGCAAGAAUGAAACUUAAAGGAAUUGGCGG
rnacentral:rRNA from 1 species